AACAACACCUGCUUGGGAACACAUCUGAAAGCAAUAUAAAUAAGUAGAAUGGAAUAAACAGAAUAAUAAACAGCAUUUAGUCUAACAUUGUUUCUUCUAUCACCAUGUUUCUACCAGAUUUGAUAUACCAAAGGUGAAUCUCUUAGACUGGCCCUGAAAAUAUGUGUUUCAUUCCAGCACAGAUAUUUUUGCUGCCUUGUUUAUUUACUUACUUACAUGGAUUUAUAAAAUGUUUGACUCCCAACCACUCUGGGCACUUCAGACUAUAAAGCGUUAGAACAAUAACACCUGAAUGGGGCUACUGCAACAUACAAUGUAGGAAACCAACAUACUGAAUUCCUUGCAAAACUAGAAAUUUAAUUUGAAUUAUCUGCUGACAAGUUCUUAAAAAUGUGAGCACUGGCAAAUGAUUAAAGGUUUUCAAGUGGAUUAAUCAAGCCAUAUAUCUGCUGAGUUGAAGUAAAUUUCCUCUCCAGCGUAGUAGGCCAGCUCAAAAGAGGAGUCAGAAACUGAGUUUUGCUUUGAACUACUUACAAUGUUAGUCAAGCAGGAACAAAAGAUUUUGAUCUUUUCCAAGCGUCUGAAUAUGAUAAGGCAGGGAAGCUGCUCCCUACUUCCCAGCUGUUUCUAACAGCCUCUUUCCUCCUUUUAAUUUCAGCUUAGGGGAGUCAUGGUGGGUCUGGGAAAAGGUUAAUUGGGUGUCCCUUACAGUUUUUUCUGCUGGUUAAAAAAAAAAUGUUGAGACGCUGACAGAUGAGAAAGCACAAGAUGCUAAUUUUAGUCCUGUUUGUUUUGGAGGAUCCUGUUUCUUCCUGUGUGCCAGACCUCUGUAGCAAUUGCACAUUUAGCUUUCCAGACUCCUGUGUGCUGCUUAAAGGAACAAUGGCUUGAACUCUUGUGCUUUGAAGACAAUUGAAAGAACCUUACUGUGAAACUGAAACUGGCAUUCCUAAGUGCCUUUCUAGAUUAUGGACAUUCCCAAUGACUUCUGGACCCCUCAGUCAAAAGAUGUCUGGUACUUCUGUUCCUCCCACCCUUUGGGAUUCAUUGUGGUGAUGGAUAAGGGGGAAGGUGCAGUGAGCAAAUGGCAGAGAAUGAAGUCUGGAACCAAUGAAACGGGAUAGGAAAGUAUUACAGAGAAAAAAGAGGCCGAUUUGGAAGUGCUUCUGCUCCCAGAAUGAUCAAAAACACACAAUGUAGGCAAAGUUACAAGCUGAAUGAUCAUUUAUAGUGCACCUCAAAUGUUUAGGUUAUCUUGUAAUAUCUGGAACAGCCCUGCUGAGCAGUUAUCUUUAUUAUUUCCCUAUUGCAACUGGGAGGGGAGCUUACUGCAGCUAAGAAAACAGCGAUGCCUUAUGAAUCAGAAGCUUCCCAGUUUAUUAUGUAAAUCCUUUUGUUUGUUUCUUUUCAACCAGUUCCAUAAAAAUGUGUUUCCUAAAUAGUG